rnacentral:rRNA from 1 species
GAUGAACGCUGGCGGCGUGCCUAAUACAUGCAAGUCGAGCGAACGGACGAGAAGCUUGCUUCUCUGAUGUUAGCGGCGGACGGGUGAGUAACACGUGGAUAACCUACCUAUAAGACUGGGAUAACUUCGGGAAACCGAAUCUAAUACCGGAUAAUAUUUUGAACCGUAUGGUUCAAAAGUAAAAGACGGUCUUGCUGUCACUUAUAGAUGGAUCCGCGCUGCAUUAGCUAGUUGUUAAGGUAACGGCUUACCAAGGCAACGAUGCAUAGCCGACCUGAGAGGGUGAUAGGCCACACUGGAAGUGAGACACGGUCCAGACUCCUACGGGGGGCAGCAGUAGGGAAUCGUACGCAAUGGGCGAAAGCAUGACGGAGCAACGCCGCGUGAGUGAUGAAGGUCUUCGGAUCGUAAAACUCUGUUAUUAGGGAAGAACAUAUGUGUAAGUAAAUGUGCACAUCGUGACGGUACCUAAUCAGAAAGCCACGGCUAACUACGUG